rnacentral:sRNA from 1 species
GCUGGGCAUGGCGGCACAUGCCUGUAAUCCCAGCAGUUUGGGAGGCUGAAACAGGAGGAUUGAGAGUACAAAGCCAGCCUCAGGAACUUAACAAGGUCCUAAGCAACUCAGUGAAACCCUGUCUCUA